rnacentral:misc_RNA from 1 species
UUUACAUCAGCUUAAUUUAUUUUUGUUCAUAAACAUUGAUUUUUUUUUUUUUUACAAGUUUUAAGGCUUAUGUUUUUUUUAUCAAUUCUUAUCUUGUUGCUUUAUUUUUUGCAUCAUGUUUUGUUUUUGUCUUUAUUUAUUUUGAAUCGUACACGUCCUGCUAACAUACAUGUUACAAUAAGGGAUCGUUUAGAAUAUCUUGUUUGUUCAGUUUUUUUAAAUUAAACGUUUUGUAAACAUU